rnacentral:rRNA from 1 species
AGAGUUUGAUCAUGGCUCAGGACGAACGCUGGCGGCGUGCUUAACACAUGCAAGUCACGGGGGUCCCGCAAGGGAUAACCGGCGAACGGGUGCGUAACACGUGAACAACCUGCCCUCGUGUGGGGGAUAGCCAUGCUAACGCGUGGGUAAUACCGCAUACGGUCCUUUGGGGGAGUCCCUGGGGGAAGAAAGCUCCGGCGCACGGGGAGGGGUUCGCGGCCUAUCAGCUAGUUGGUGCGGGUAAUGGCCCACCAAGGCGACGACGGGUAGCUGGUCUGAGAGGAUGGCCAGCCACAUUGGGACUGAGAGACGGCCCAGACUCCUACGGGAGGCAGCAGUGGGGAAUCUUGCGCAAUGGCCGAAAGGCUGACGCAGCGACGCCGCGUGUGGGAGGACGCCUUUCGGGGUGUAAACCACUGUUGCCCGGGACGAACAUCCCUUUUCGAGGGGACUGACGGUACCGGGUGAGGAAGCACCGGCUAACUCCGUGCCAGCAGCCGCGGUAAUACGGAGGGUGCGAGCGUUGUCCGGAAUCAUUGGGCGUAAAGGGCGCGUAGGUGGCGGGACAAGCGUGCGGUGAAAGCUCGGGGCUCAACCCCGCGUCGGCCGUGCGAACUGUUUUGCUUGAGCACUGUAGAGGCAGGCGGAAUUCCGGGUGUAGCGGUGGAAUGCGUAGAGAUCCGGAAGAACACCGGUGGCGAAGGCGGCCUGCUGGGCAGUAGCUGACACUGAGGCGCGACAGCGUGGGGAGCAAACAGGAUUAGAUACCCUAGUAGUCC